rnacentral:RNase_P_RNA from 1 species
CGAGCCGGCCGGGCGGCCGCGGCGGAGAUCUUCGGAUCCCCGGCGAGGAACGUCCGGGCUCCACAGAGCAGGGUGGUGGGUAACGCCCACCCGGGGUGACCCGCGGGACAGUGCCACAGAAAGCAGACCGCCGGGAGCUUCGGCUCACGGUAAGGGUGAAACGGUGGUGUAAGAGACCACCAGCGCCCGAGGUGACUCGGGCGGCUAGGUAAACCCCACCCGGAGCAAGGUCAAGAGGGAGCACCUCGGUGCUCCUGCGCGGACGUUCGAGGGCUGCUCGCCCGAGUCCGCGGGUAGACCGCACGAGGCCGGCAGCAAUGCCGGCCCUAGAUGGAUGGCCGCCUCCCCCUGGGCCGCAAGACCCUGGGGAGACAGAACCCGGCGUACAGGCCGACUCGUCCG